rnacentral:misc_RNA from 1 species
AACGCAUAUUGCGCCUUCUGGUAUUCCGGAAGGCAUGCUUGUUUGAGUAUCAGUAAAUACCCCUCAGCCUCUCUCUACCUUUUGCCACCUUCAAAUCUCUUGGGGGUUUUUGGGAAAAAGGAGGAGGUUGGAUUUGAGCAAAAAUUCCCUUGUUUUCCAAAAAUUUUUGGAAUUGCAGGGAAUUUUGCUUGAAAUUCAGGUUCGGCCAAGACAAAAUUUUGUCCUACAAGCAAAUUUUCACUUUAUCCCGUCAAACGGAUAAUCUCUUUUUUGCUUUUGGUGGUGAAUUUUUGUCGAAAUGGCUCGACUGAUGCAGAAGUGUUUUUUCUUUUAAAAACGUACUCUCGAUCUCAAAUCAAGUAAGACUACCCGCUGAACUUAA